rnacentral:rRNA from 1 species
GACGUAGGGCGCGAGCGUUGUCCGGAUUUAUUGGGCGUAAAGAGCUCGUAGGCGGCUUGUUGCGUCGACCGUGAAAACCCGCGGCUUAACUGCGGGCUUGCGGUCGAUACGGGCGGGCUGGAGUUCGGUAGGGGAGACUGGAAUUCCUGGUGUAGCGGUGAAAUGCGCAGAUAUCAGGAGGAACACCGAUGGCGAAGGCAGGUCUCUGGGCCGAUACUGACGCUGAGGAGCGAAAGCGUGGGGAGCGAACAGG